AAGCUUAUAGCUCAGUGGUCAGAGCAAUCGACUCAUAAUCGAUCGGACGGGGGUUCAAAUCCCUCUAAGCUUA
rnacentral:tRNA from 1 species